CAUUUAUAGAUUAAAACGCUCUCAAAUCAGGAUUUAAAUUAUAAUAAUUUGCAAAAAAAAAAACUGUUAGGAUAUAUCAAUAAUGCCGUCUAAACUUGCACGUUUCCAAUCACAGAUCAUGCAGUGUUCCUGACGCGUUGUGGUUUCUUAGUUGGGAUGCUGAGCACGAGGUCGGCGGGAUCGAAUCCCGCCCACGGCGACCGCAUGUCGAUGGGGGAGAAAUGCGAAAACACUGUGGUGCACGUUAAAAAACCCCAGGUGGUCCAAAUUUCCGGAGCGACCCAUGUUGUCGAUGCGUUAUGCCACUGUUGAAUUCACCAAAGCUGAAGAAGUGGAAGUUGUUCCUACAAGUUGGAUCUCCGACAACAAGUGUUGGUGGCCAGCUCACGCAAAGCCCGAAAAGCUUACAUCAAUGGUGAAAAAAAUCGCACCAGGUGGAGUCAACGUGGAAACAGUUUGACAUUUCUGUAAAAGGGUUAUUGGUGGGAGCCAUGUUUUGGUAUGGUGAUUUUUUAGAACAAAAUGAGAGUAAAAACUUGACCAUUGCAUUGUCAUUUCUUGUUUAGCCACAUACGAUCAUGCACGUAAAAAGCUGAAUAAAAGUCAGUUCACAUCGGACCUGAGCAGUGACCCUGACAUGGUUCAAAAAAGACGUUGCCGAGCACCAUUUGUAUACACAGACUCGGAUUAAAGUGACUCGCAACCUUCUCCAAGCUCUGUGAAGCAGCUGCGAAUCCCAGAGGUUCCCGAUAAUAAUAUUCCGCAGAGUGAGGUAAAUGUGGUCACUACAGCUUUGUAACGCAAAAAAUAUAGCUGCUGUAAAUAAAAUAUAAUGAUUACUUUAUUCGUACGAUGGUGCCCCUUUAAAGCUUUCUCGUAGUUUAUGAUUGCUUGCUCUGUCCAACAUCUGUGAAUAUGUCCCAUGUUUUGUCCUUCUGUGCAAGAGAGCUCCGUGGGGACAACAGUGCCAUUCCGGUUCUAUGAGCCUGAGUUCAUUUGCUGUUUCCAAGGUAUUGCUAGAAUUUGAAAAAAGGCACGGUCCAAAUAAUUUAGGUCUCAGCUGUGUGAUAUUUUAGGUGUGAGGAUUGCCAGUACCUUUAUGUUCCUUAGUCAUUACUGAAUGUAGUGAAAUGUGAUAGCGUACUGAUUGCCAACUUUUUUUCUGGGAUUCGACGAGCCUCACCUCACGAUUCAUUCACGCUAAUGAAACAGUCAAUGCCUGUGCUCUCUUCAUGUCUCGUAUUCCAUGUGGCAUUCUGUGCUUUUUUUUUUCACGUUCCCUGAUGUUAAGGUGAAGAAUAAGUGUAUUGCAGUGAAAGAAGUGUACCAUGCUUUUGAAGUACACUGAGGGCUACACCUGGUCCUGCCUACCUUGAUGUUUCUAAAUAUGUAUUAUCGCGAUAGUGGUGCUUAGUAUACGUUCUUAUAUUAUGUGAUCUCAUUUCACUCUUGUAGCACUUGGGGGCUGGAAAUUUUAAUGUACUGCUGUAAAAGCUGUCACCUGCAGCCUUUGUCUUAGUUUGUGGUAAUAAGUUGUUGACAUUUAUUAUAAUGCAGGACUGUUACAUGCAUUAAUUCUCUCUCUGAAUCUUAUAUAGGUUUGCAGUAUCUUGUCUUGUGACCAGUUCUGUGUUUGAAUACUUGUAACACUUGCAUUACUAGCGACUCUGUAUUAAAUCGAGCUUUUGAAAUAGAAAUGAAUAAAAAUAUCUGUGAGAGUGA